rnacentral:piRNA from 1 species
UGUUACGUGUUUGACCAGCACAGGGGUC